CAGUAGCCGCGGGAAUACGUAGGUGGCAAGCGUUGUCCGGGAUUAUUGGGCGUAAAGGGUUCGCAGGCGGUUUCUUAAGUCUGAUGUGAAAGCCCCCGGCUCAACCGGGGAGGGUCAUUGGAAACUGGGAAACUUGAGUGCAGAAGAGGAGAGUGGAAUUCCACGUGUAGCGGUGAAAUGCGUAGAGAUGUGGAGGAACACCGGUGGCGAAGGCGACUCUCUGGUCUGUAACUGACGCUGAGGAGCGAAAGCGUGGGGAGCGAACAGGAUUAGAUACCCCAGUAGUCCCUGUCUCUUAUAC
rnacentral:rRNA from 1 species